rnacentral:rRNA from 1 species
UAGCGAAAGCGAGUUUUAACUGAGCGUUCAGUUACUUGACGUAGACCCGAAACCGGGCGACCUACCCAUGAGCAGGAGGAAGCGAAAGUAAAAUUUCGUGGAGGUCCGAACCCACGAGCGUUGAAAAGCUCGGGGAUGACUUGUGGGUAGCGGUGAAAUUCCAAUCGAGCCCGGAGAUAGCUGGUUCUCCCCGAAAUAGCUUUAGGGCUAGCCUCAAGGUGAGAGAUACGGAGGUAGAGCACUGAAUGUCCUAGGGGGUAUUGCACCUACCGAAGACUAUCAAACUCCGAAUGCCGUCAUCUUAUACUUGGGAGUCAGACUGUGGGUGAUAAGAUUCAUAGUCGAAAGGGCAACAGCCCAGAUCGUCAGCUAAGGUCCCUAAAUGUAAGUUAAGUGGUAAAGGAUGUGGGAUUGCACAGACAACCAGGAUGUUGGCUUAGAAGCAGCCACUCAUUCAAAGAGUGCGUAAUAGCUCACUGGUCGAGUGAUCCUGCGCCGAAGAUUUCCGGGGCUAAA